AUGAUGAAGGACGAUGUUAUUAGCAGACAUAAGCUUGAGCCUAAAUGUGGGCUAAGGAAGCUAAUAUAUCUAGUUGAAGGGGAUGUAAACACUGUAGAUGGAUCAGAGGGCGUUAAAACAGCCUGCUUCACUACUGAGGUUCUUGAAGGAUUUGAUGUCCAAAGAACCACUGGGUAUGCUGACACUGAAAAGAAAUACGGCCACCUCACGGGCUCUAUAAUUGAUUACUACAGCAGAAACUUCUCUGCUGGUGCUGAUACCUCUUGA
rnacentral:rRNA from 1 species